ensembl:lncRNA
AAGGCAAAGGACGGAAAGCCUGAGAGCGGUUGUUAGAGCUGUGGCUAUUCUGUUUAGAUUUAACCUAAGAAACUACUCGGUUAAAUAUAUUAACUUAAAUGACUCCAAGUGUGCACAGCUGUUGAAAUCUUUAGUGUUUAAAUCGUUUCCCCCCUCACACACACACACCCGUCUAAACUAAACUACAGUGAACUCACACCGCUUUUAGUCUCGCGCGCGUGUUUGUGUUUGUGAAAGCGGUAGAGUUACUGUUAAUCCUGCGGUUUAAUAAUAAUAACAAUAAUAAAAACCGUUGGAUUUUUACCUGCACAAAACUGAAGAACUCGGAUUAAAGCAAAGAAGGACCAACGGGGGAAAAUUAAGAAAAACUUUUUCAAGCGGACAUCAAAUCGGGAAAAGCUUCUCCUUGCCUGGCUUUUCGCAUUCUCCAAUACAGCAUUCUCCAGUCUCCGAUCGGCAGUCGAUGGUCACGCGUGCGCUACUCAACGACGCAUCAAAGAGGCUCGCCGAGGCAUCGCCGAAAGCAGGCAGAUAUAUUCGGCGCGUUAAAUAUCCGGAGCUGUCGGGCGACUCCACAUCCUGUGGCGUGAAAAGUGUCGUCUCGGGCAGCGAUC